AUGGAAAAGAAAUAUGCGUCCGGCUACCCGCAGCUGGACAAAGAGAAGGAGAAAAAAGACAAAGUAGUUGCCGGGAGAUCCAGCCCGACUGCUCAGCAGUCGGCCCGGAUCUCGGGGGCUACACCCAGUGGGUGCGCUGACGCGCCCCCGCGAAGAAGAAGACAAAGUAGUCGCCAGGAGACCCGUCCCGAAUGCUCAGCAGUCGGCCCAAAUCUCGGGGGCUACACCCAGCGGGUGCGCUGGCGCGCCCCCGCGAAGAUUGCAGACAAGAGAAGAGUUUUGUCUGGCUGCCAGCAGCCGGCAGAAGAGAAAAAGAAGAAAAAUGGGCAUUGCAAGACACCUCGCCGCCUGGCUGGUCGAGCCUGA
rnacentral:rRNA from 1 species